rnacentral:rRNA from 1 species
GGUGUAUGCUACCUGAUCCGAGGUCAACCUUUGGAAAAUUGGGGGGUUUUACGGCAAGAGUCCCUCCGGAUCCCAGUGCGAGACGUAAAGUUACUACGCAAAGGAGGCUCCGGGAGGGUCCGCCACUACCUUUGAGGGCCUACAUCAGCUGUAGGGCCCCAACACCAAGCAGAGCUUGAGGGUUGAAAUGACGCUCGAACAGGCAUGCCCGCCAGAAUGCUGGCGGGCGCAAUGUGCGUUCAAAGAUUCGAUGAUUCACUGAAUUCUGCAAUUCACAUUACUUAUCGCAUUUCGCUGCGUUCUUCAUCGAUGCCAGAACCAAGAGAUCCGUUGUUAAAAGUUUUGAUUAUUUGCUUGUACCACUCAGAAGAAACGUCGUUAAAUCAGAGUUUGGUUAUCCUCCGGCGGGCGCCGACCCGCCCGGGGGCGGGAGGCCGGGAGGGUCACGGAGACCCUACCCGCCGAAGCAACAGUUAUAGGUAUGUUCACAAAGGGUUAUAGAGCGUAAACUCAGUAGUGAUCCCUCCAAAGGUUCACCUACGGAA